GACGAACGCUGGCGGCGUGCUUAACACAUGCAAGUCGAACGGAAAGGCCCUGCUUUUGUGGGGUGCUCGAGUGGCGAACGGGUGAGUAACACGUGAGUAACCUGCCCUUGACUUUGGGAUAACUUCAGGAAACUGGGGCUAAUACCGGAUAUGAGCUCCUGCUGCAUGGUGGGAGUUGGAAAGUUUCGGCGGUUGGGGAUGGACUCGCGGCUUAUCAGCUUGUUGGUGGGGUAGUGGCUUACCAAGGCUUUGACGGGUAGCCGGCCUGAGAGGGUGACCGGCCACAUUGGGACUGAGAUACGGCCCAGACUGCUACGGGAGGCAGCAGUGGGGAAUAUUGCACAAUGGGCGGAAGCCUGAUGCAGCAACGCCGCGUGCGGGAUGACGGCCUUCGGGUUGUAAACCGCUUUCGCCUGUGACGAAGCGUGAGUGACGGUAAUGGGUAAAGAAGCACCGGCUAACUACGUG
rnacentral:rRNA from 1 species